rnacentral:rRNA from 1 species
GAUGAACGCUAGCGAUAGGCUUAACACAUGCAAGUCGAGGGGCAGCAUGGUUUUAGUUUACUAAGACUGAUGGCGACCGGCGCACGGGUGCGUAACGCGUAUGCAACUUACCUUAUAGAGGGGGUUAGCCCGUUUAACGACGGAUUAAUACCGCAUAUACAAGUAUAUUGGCAUCAAUUAACUUGGAAAUGAAUUUCGCUAUAAGAUAGGCAUGCGUCCCAUUAGCUAGUUGGUGAGGUAACGGCUCACCAAGGCGACGAUGGGUAGGGGAACUGAGAGGUUGAUCCCCCACACUGGUACUGAGACACGGACCAGGCUCCUACGGGAGGCAGCAGUGAGGAAUAUUGGUCGAUGGACGCAAGUCUGAACCAGCCAAAUCGCGUGAAGGAUGACUGUCUUAUGGAUUGUAAACUUCUUUUAUACGGGAAUAAUCACAGAUACGUGUAUCUGUUUGAAUGUACCGUACGAAUAAGCAUCGGCUAACUCCGUGCCAGCAGCCGCGGUAAUACGGAGGAUGCGAGCGUUAUCCGGAUUUAUUGGGUUUAAAGGGUGCGUAGGUGGUCUGAUAAGUCAGCGGUGAAAUCUCCGAGCUCAACUCGGACACUGCCGUUGAAACUGUUGGACUUGAGUGUAGAUGAGGUAGGCGGAAUGCGUGGUGUAGCGGUGUGCAUAGAUAUCACGCAGAACUCCGAUUGCGAAGCAGCUUACUAAGGUACAACUGACACUGAAGCACGAAAGCGUGGGUAUCAAACAG